AUUGAACGCUGGCGGCAGGCCUAACACAUGCAAGUCGAACGAGUGGCGGACGGGUGAGUAAUGUCUGGGAAACUGCCCGAUGGAGGGGGAUAACUACUGGAACCGGUAGCUAAUACCGCAUACCAUCGGAUGUGCCCAGAUGGGAUUAGCUAGUAGGUGGGUUAACGGCUCACCUAGGCGACGAUCCCUAGCUGGUCUGCGAGGCUGACCAGCCACACUGGGACUGAGACAAGGUCCAGACUCCUACGGUAGGCAGCAGUGGGGAAUAUUGCACAAGGGGCGCAAGCCGGAUGCAGCCAUGCCGAGUGUAUGAAGAAGGCCUUCGGGUUGGAAAGUACUUUCAGCGAGGAGGCGUUACUCGCAGAAGAAGCACCGGCUAACUCCGUGCCAGCAGCCGCGGUAAUUC
rnacentral:rRNA from 1 species